GAUGAACGCUGGCGGCGUGCCUAAUACAUGCAAGUCGAGCGAACGGACGAGAAGCUUGCUUCUCUGAUGUUAGCGGCGGACGGGUGAGUAACACGUGGAUAACCUACCUAUAAGACUGGGAUAACUUCGGGAAGCCGGAGCUAAUACCGGAUAAUAUUUUGAACCGCAUGGUUCAAAAGUGAAAGACGGUCUUGCUGUCACUUAUAGAUGGAUCCGCGCUGCAUUAGCUAGUUGGUAAGGUAACGGCCUACCAAGGCAACGAUGCAUAGCCGACCUGAGAGGGUGAUCGGCCACACUGGAACUGAGACACGGUCCAGACUCCUACGGGAGGCAGCAGUAGGGAAUCUUCCGCAAUGGGCGAAAGCCUGACGGAGCAACGCCGCGUGAGUGAUGAAGGUCUUCGGAUCGUAAAACUCUGUUAUUAGGGAAGAACAUAUGUGUAAGUAACUGUGCACAUCUUGACGGUACCUAAUCAGAAAGCCACGGCUAACUACGUG
rnacentral:rRNA from 1 species